CGGGUAAUGUAUCCCGGCUAUUCGGGUAGCUAUAUGUCUGGCGGAGGCAGCGGGCGUAUGUAUCCCGGCUAUUCGGGUAGCUAUAUGUCUGGCGGAGGCAGCGGCCGUAUGUAUCCCGGCUAUUCGGGUAGCUAUAUGUCUGGCGGAGGCAGCGGGCGUAUGUAUCCCGGCUAUUCGGGUAGCUAUAUGUCUGGCGGAGGCAGCGGCCAUAUGUAUCCCGGCUAUUCGGGUAGCUAUAUGUCUGGCGGAGGCAGUGGCCAUAUGUAUCCCGGCUAUUCGGGUAGCUAUAUGUCUGGCGGAGGCAGUGGCCAUAUGUAUCCCGGUUAUUCGGGUAGCUAUAUGUCUGGCGGAGCCAGCGGCCAUAUGUAUCCAGGAUAUUCGGGUAGCUAUAUGUCUGGCGGAGGCAGCGGCCAUAUGUAUCCCGGGAGACGCGCAUACUGAGAUUGGCAAUUGACGACGAAAGCACGAAUGGAUAUUACGUGGAAUGGAUAUUUGAAAUAAAAAUAAGAGCUUA